UACGUAGGGCGCAAGCGUUGUCCGGAAUUAUUGGGCGUAAAGAGCUCGUAGGCGGUCUGUCGCGUCUGCUGUGAAAACCUGGGGCUUAACCCCGGGCCUGCAGUGGGUACGGGCAGACUAGAGUGCGGUAGGGGAGACUGGAAUUCCUGGUGUAGCGGUGAAAUGCGCAGAUAUCAGGAGGAACACCGGUGGCGAAGGCGGGUCUCUGGGCCGUAACUGACGCUGAGGAGCGAAAGCAUGGGGAGCGAACAGG
rnacentral:rRNA from 1 species